GCCCUUCUGUGUGCCUUAUUCUGUGGCUGAAGUGUGAUUAAGUGCCUGACAAAGAUACCGAACUGAGCAAAGAUAAGGACUAACAAAAUGCACAUCAGUGAUUGGGGUAGUCCAACUCUGUCAGUUUAGUAUAUAUACUACUCUAUACGGACAAAUCUAACCGAUAACGCAAGCGAAGUAAGGGCAACUGAACGUCAGCACAUAUACGAUUUAUUUAUGUACAAAUCUAGUCGAUAAUGUAAGCGAAGUAAAGACAAACAUAUGAACAACUGCUGAAGUGCCCGACAAAGAUACCAAAGACAAAAGAUAAGGGAUACAGAAGACAUUGGACAUGAUUGUGUUGGUCCAACUCUGUUAUAUAGUUUAGGAUAUAAACGAUUUAUUUAUGUACAAAUCUAGUCGAUAAUGUAAGCGAAGUAAAGACAAACAUAUGAACAACUGCUGAAGUGGCCGACAAAGAUACCAAAGACAAAAGAUAAGGGAUACUGAAGACAUUGGACAUGAUUGUGUUGGUCCAACUCUAUUAUAUAGUUUAGGAUAUAAACGAUUUAUUUAUGUACAAAUCUAGUCAAUAAUGUAAGCGAAGUAAAGACAAACACAUGAACAACCGCUGAAGUGUGAAGUGUCCGACAAAGAUACCGAACUGACCAACGAUAAAGGCAAAGACGUUGCACAUGAUUGCGGUUGUCCAAUUCCUUCAGUUGUGAACAUUAAUCUAACUUGACAUACGCGCAAUCCAAAUAUAAAGCCAAUCACAAGGACAAGAGCAGAAGUGUCUGGCAAAGAUAAGACGAAAUCAUUGUACAUAAAUCACUGCGGUUGUCCAACUCAAGAUUAUCAUUCAUUUGCCUAAAUUACAAUAACUAUCAAUUUUAGAAAUCUCGGUUCUUUACUCAGCUGUUUGAAAAAUGUUGAUCACGAAAUGUAAAUUAUGCAGAAAAGAUUAUAUGUUGCCGCCGUGGUUUGUAUCAUUGGCAAAACUACAUUUACAGAUAAAAAAAGCCUACGUUUCGAGAGAAAGCCCUCAUUCAACAGGCGUUAUUGGGCCUUGGCGCGAAAUGCUGACCCCAAUAAAAAAGGUUAUGACUUAUACAAUGCCGCAUUUUGUCUCCAACAUGAUAUUUAUGGUUUAUCUCAAACGUGAUGUCCAUUGUAGGAAAUUGUAGGUAGUACAAUAUGCGGCCUUGGUUUUGGCAGAAACUAUUUGAGAAAGGAAAGGCUUGGACCGUUGGACUUGGACGUUUGGAUGAUGAGAGGGUCUUCAAUAGUUCAAUUCGCUGGCAAACGCGUAGACGUAUUUUUAAUCUUUGUCAUACAGGUCUUAUCAAAACAACCGUUGUGACGAUUUGUGUAUACAUGUCGAGAAAUGUCGAGUUGUUUCCUCUAGCUACGACUACGUCUUUUCAUGUAAAAUUGAUUUCGUAACGACAGUGUUUGCUUUGUGUGAUAUAUGUCGGCGUUUGUUGACUCGAUACUGAACGGCUGGAUGUGACGAGCACAGAAGCCUCACAAAAUAACCGACCCACACGAAGAAUAGUCCAGAAAACUUUGAUUACUUUUUUUCAAUACGCCUUCAUGAGUUGUCUCUGAAUUACCUAAAAAAUAUUUUUAGGCAAACAUUUUGUUAUCAUUAGCAUAUGACGUCAGACAUGUCAUUUGGCACCAUUUUCGUUGAUUCUAAACAAUCUACCGUGUUAGGGAAAUUUUUACGGUUUCUGCCUGGCUUAGAUACGAGCAGGAUUCGGGAAAAUACAUAGUUUGAAGUUGCGACCAAAGUUGCCAUAUGUGUUUUUAUACUGAAACAAGACGGCAUCAAUUGCAUACGAUCAAUAUAUGCAAUCUCA